AACGAACGCUGGCGGCAUGCCUAACACAUGCAAGUCGAACGAGACCUGCGGGUCUAGUGGCGCACGGGUGCGUAACGCGUUGGAACCUGCCCUUAGGUUCGGCAUAACUCCCCGAAAGGGGUGCUAGUACCGGAUACUAUUUUCGGACCAAAGAUUUAUCGCCUUUGGAUGGGCCCGCGUUGGAUUAGCUAGUUGGUAGGGUAAUAGCCUACCAAUAGGACGAUACAUAGCUGGUCUGAGAGGAUGAUCAGACACACUGGGACUGAGAGACGGCACACACUCGUGCGGGAGGCAGCAGUAAGGAAUAUUGGACGAUGGGCGGAAGGCUGCUGCAGCUAUGCCGCGUGAGUGAAGAAGGCCUUAGGGUUGUAAAGCUCUAUUAGCCGAGAUGAUAAUGACAGUACCAGCAGAAGAAGCGCCGGCUAACUCCGUG
rnacentral:rRNA from 1 species